rnacentral:rRNA from 1 species
UACGUAGGGGGCUAGCGUUGUCCGGAUUUAUUGGGCGUAAAGAGCGUGUAGGCGGCCAGGUAGGUCCGUUGUGAAAACUCGAGGCUCAACCUCGAGACGUCGGCGGAAACCCUCUGGCUAGAGUCCGGAAGAGGAGAGUGGAAUUCCUGGUGUAGCGGUGAAAUGCGCAGAUAUCAGGAAGAACACCCGUGGCGAAGGCGGCUCUCUGGGACGGUACUGACGCUGAGACGCGGAAGCGUGGGGAGCAAACAGG